UUACUCAUUCAUUUGAUUUAUGAUUUGUAAUUCUCAUGAAACCAACCACGGGUUUUUUCUUUGAAAAAAAACAAAAAAAAACUGAACAUUUCACUUCGAUUCUCGCGCUUCGUGUUUCCAUCAGUGCAUCACAACCUGACUCUGUCUUAAACUCCGUAAGCAUCAUUUUAAAUUUCAAGAUUAUGUCAAUGGUGGAGAAAUCGAAGAAACCCAGCACAUGCAAUUUCGAGUAAAUACGACAACUACUUCAUUACCCAGCCCCAAUACA